rnacentral:rRNA from 1 species
AGAGCACACGGUGGAUGCCUUGGCACCAGUGGCCGAAGAAGGACGUGGCAAGCUGCGAAAAGCUCCGGUUAGCUGCAAGCGAGCGUUAGACCCGGAGAUUUCCGAAUGGGGCAACCUGCCGCAGGUAAUGCUGCGGCAUCCCUGCCUGAAUCCAUAGGGCAGGAGAAGGGCACCGGGGGAACUGAAACAUCUAAGUACCCCGAGGAAGAGAAAGAAACCUCGAUUCCCCCAGUAGCGGCGAGCGAAGAGGGAAGAGCCUAAACCAUUUAAGUGGAGAAGCCUGCAAGCGUUGCUUAAAUGGGGUUGUAGGGGUCAGAAUUGAGGCAGGUUGCAGACUGCUUCCAGGCCAAGUUCAGCUAGCAGAAGCGCUCUGGAAAGAGCCACCGCAGAGGGUGAAAGUCCCGUAUGCGAAAGCUGGGCGCAACCUGUUCUGACUACCUGAGUACCGCGGGACACGUGGAAUCCUGUGGGAAUCUGGGAGGCCCACCUCCCAAGGCUAAAUACCAUCUGGUGACCGAUAGUGAACUAGUACCGUGAGGGAAAGGUGAAAAGCACCCCGGGAGGGGAGUGAAAUAGAACCUGAAACCGUGUGUUUACAAUCAGUCGGAGUGCUAUGAAUCAAGCACGACGGCGUACUUUUUGUAGAACGGACCGGCGAGAGGCGGUAUGCAGCGAGGUUAAGCGAAAGCGGAGCCGCAGCGAAAGCGAGUCUGAAUAGGGCAUAAGUUGCAUGUCGCAGACCCGAAACCAGGUGAUCUAUCCAUGGCCAGGGUGAAGCGGAUGUAAAAAUUCGUGGAGGCCCGAACCUCAACGACGUUGAAAAGUCGUGGGAUGAGCUGUGGAUGGGGGUGAAAUGCCAAUCGAACCUGGAGAUAGCUGGUUCUCCCCGAAAUAGCUUUAGGGCUAGCCUCAAAGUAAGAAUCAUGGAGGUAGAGCACUGAUUGGGCUAGGGGCCCUACCAGGUUACCGAACCCAUUCAAACUCCGAAUUCCAUGAUUUGUUCUUUGGGAGUCAGACUAUGUGGGAUAAGCUUCAUAGUCGAGAGGAAAACAGUCCAGACCAACAGCUAAGGUCCCAAAGCACGAACUAAGUGGGAAAGGAUGUAGGACUGCCCAGACAACCAGGAUGUUGGCUUAGAAGCAGCCAUUCAUUCAAAGAGUGCGUAAUAGCUCACUGGUCGAGUGGUCCUGCGCCGAAAAUGUAACGGGGCUCAAGUUCGUCACCGAAGCUUUGGAAUCCGUAAGGAUUGGUAGGGGAGCGUUCUGCAGGCGCAGAAGCCAUACCGAAAGGAGUGGUGGAGUCUGCAGAAGUGAGAAUGCCGGUAUGAGUAGCGAGAAGGCAGGUGAGAAUCCUGCCCGCCGAAAGCCUAAGGUUUCCUGAGGAAGGCUCGUCCGCUCAGGGUAAGUCGGGACCUAAGCCGAGGCCGAUUGGCGUAGGCGAUGGACAACAGGUUGAGAUUCCUGUACCACCUAUACACCGUUAUGAGCGAAGGGGGGACGCAGGAGGGUAAGCUAGCCUGCUGAUGGAAUAGCAGGUCCAAGCCAGUAGGAUGGACAUCCAGGCAAAUCCGGAAGUCCGCGUAUCCGAGAGGUGAUGGGGAGCGGGUAAAUCCUGCGGAAGUAGCUGAUCCCAUACUGCCGAGAAAAGCCUCUAGCCAGGUGUAGGGUGCCCGUACCGCAAACCGACACAGGUAGGCGAGAAGAGAAUUCUAAGGCGCGCGAGAGAACCCUUGUUAAGGAACUCGGCAAAUUGACCCUGUAACUUUGGGAGAAAGGGUGCCCUGUUAUCGUGAAGGAGCUAGCCUCUGGAGCGAGAGAGGGUUGCAGUGAAACGGCCCAAGCGACUGUUUAGCAAAAACACAGGUCUCUGCUAAGUCGAAAGACGAAGUAUAGGGGCUGACGCCUGCCCGGUGCUGGAAGGUUAAGGGGAAAGGUUAGCGCAAGCGAAGCUUUGAACCGAAGCCCCAGUGAACGGCGGCCGUAACUAUAACGGUCCUAAGGUAGCGAAAUUCCUUGUCUGGUAAGUUCAGACCCGCACGAAAGGCGUAACGAUCUGGGCGCUGUCUCAACGAGGGGCUCGGUGAAAUUGUAAUACCGGUGAAGAUGCCGGUUACCUGCGAUAGGACAGAAAGACCCCGUGGAGCUUUACUGCAACUUGAUAUUGGAUUUUGGCAGGUCAUGUACAGGAUAGGUGGGAGGCAGAGAAGCGAGUCCGCCAGGAUUCGUGGAGCCACUGGUGGGAUACCACUCUUGAUGUGCUGGAGUUCUAACCUCGGGCCGUAAUCCGGUCCAGGGACAGUGUCAGGCGGGCAGUUUGACUGGGGCGGUCGCCUCCUAAAAGGUAACGGAGGCGCCCAAAGGUUCCCUCAGCGCGGAUGGAAAUCGCGCGAAGAGUGUAAAGGCAUAAGGGAGCUUGACUGCGAGAGAGACAUUUCGAGCAGGGACGAAAGUCGGGCUUAGUGAUCCGGCGGUUCCGAGUGGAAGGGCCGUCGCUCAACGGAUAAAAGCUACCCCGGGGAUAACAGGCUUAUCUCCCCCAAGAGUCCACAUCGACGGGGAGGUUUGGCACCUCGAUGUCGGCUCAUCAUCGACGGGGAGGUUUGGCACCUCGAUGUCGGCUCAUCACAUCCUGGGGCCGGAGAAGGUCCCAAGGGUUGGGCUGUUCGCCCAUUAAAGUGGUACGUGAGCUGGGUUCAGAACGUCGUGAGACAGUUCGGUCCCUAUCCAUCGCAGGCGCAGGAAACUUGAGAGGAGCUGUCCCUAGUACGAGAGGACCGGGAUGGACAGACCGCUGGUGUACCAGUUGUCUCGCCAGAGGCACAGCUGGGUAGCUAUGUCUGGGACGGAUAAGCGCUGAAAGCAUCUAAGCGCGAAGCCGACCUCAAGAUGAGGUUUCCCACUGGGUUAACCAGGUAAGACCCCAGCAAGAUUAGCUGGUUGAUAGGCCGGGGGUGUAAGUGCAGCAAUGCAUUCAGCCGACCGGUACUAAUAGGUCGAGGGCUUGACCU